AGCACUUAGAAGGAACUUAGAUAAAAUGAAAUUAAUUGUUUAACUUGUAGGCAAAGAUUCACAGACAGGUGCAGAAUUAAAUCCUCUUUUGCAACCCAGAAUUCAUUGUUCAGUAUGAGUUUUGAUACAUCUAAGAAGGAAUAUC